rnacentral:rRNA from 1 species
UGGGGAAUUUUGCACAAUGGGGGAAACCCUGAUGCAGCGACGCCGCGUGAUUUAGAAGGCCUUCGGGUUGUAAAAAUCUUUUCUAUGGGAAGAAAAUGACAGUACCAUAUGAAUAAGGACCGGCUAAUUACGUGCCAGCAGCCGCGGUAAUACGUAAGGUCCGAGCGUUGUCCGGAAUCAUUGGGCGUAAAGGGUACGUAGGCGGGUAAGCAAGUUAGAAGUGAAAUCCUAUAGCUCAACUAUAGUAAGCUUUUAAAACUGCUCAUCUUGAGGUAUGGAAGGGAAAGUGGAAUUCCUAGUGUAGCGGUGAAAUGCGCAGAUAUUAGGAGGAAUACCGGUGGCGAAGGCGACUUUCUGGCCAUAACCUGACGCUGAGGUACGAAAGCGUGGGUAGCAAACAGG